rnacentral:lncRNA from 1 species
GGCGCUCGUCGGCGAGCUAGGCGCACGGCUGAAGACUUGCCGUCGUACAAGGUAGGUCGUCUAAUUAUUCAAGUUGAUGGCUGUUGUUUUUCUAAUUUGUCAACAAAUGCUACUUGUGAGGUAGGUGAGAUGCACGCAUCUAUGCUUUUCGGUAAGAACCGUGUUUUUGCUCAAGUAAUAUACUUACACGCUCUUAUAAAUUCGCAAGGAUGUCAUUAAGCUAGAAGACGACAUUACUCUGCUAAUGGUACUAAAUUCCUCCUAAAAAGUAGAAAAACAAAAAGCAUGUGUCUUGAACAACGACGGUAGAUUAAGUUGGCUUCUGUUGUUAGAAGAAGACUUGAUUUUGGCCUGUCAUCAUACCAGCAGAUGGCUCCAGUGGGGCAUUUGAGGUUGGGUGUCCUAUCAUCAUACCAAUUUGUGGCUGUACUAAGACAUUCGGAGCUGGGUGUCCUAUCAUUGUACCAACAGAUGGUUGAAGUGAGGCAGUUGGAGCUCCUAUGGAGGACUGCAGUAAGGCAUUCAGAGCAGGGUGUCCUGUCAUCGUACCAAGAGACUGCAAUAGUGAGGCAUCUGAAACUGAGUUGCAUUGAUCUGAAUAGGUAUACACGUUAUUUGUCGGAACUCCAAAAUGACCCUGUGAGUAGUAGUAGUAGCAAAGGUCAGUGUUCAUAAAGCUUUAAAAUGAUAAGAUUGAAAUUUGAGAGUAGGUAGCUUAUACCAUUAAGCUAUUGUAGUGUUGCAAUUCAGUCGACAAUCUUUGGUCUUGUCCAUACAUCGCCAUAGGAUUUAGGAUUGUGUUGUACUGUGGUAGGUAUGCAGGCAUUUGAUUUGUAAAAACCUCCGAAUGACCCUAUAAAAAAUAGUGAGAUAUCUUGUAAUAUACUUUAAUUUUUGAUAUCAGAUCAAGUGUGAAUUUAUUUAUACCAUUAGGGUGCCAUGAGGUUGUACUGCUACAGGAUUAUCUACUUUCCUUUUCCUCUUUGAUUUUGCUUUCUCUAAGCCACCAAUAGGUCUACUUGCUCCUUCAAUAGUCUUCUCCUUGAACUUCAUACCUUUUGGCUUAGCAAGCCCCUUAUUUUGUUUUGAAUUUGUAGACGGGUUAAUGUUUUUUUUCUGCAAAUACAUAAGUAAGUAAAAUUCAAGUUUGAUUACAUCAUAAAACUACACUCAUAUCAAUGGGUCUACUUGAUCCUCGAACAUUCUUCUUUAACCUUGAUACCUUUUGGAUUGGCGAACCCCUCAUGUUGUCCUGAACUUGUAGAUGAGUUAUUGUUUGGGUUUGCAACUAUAAAAUCAAACAUAGGUUAGUUUGAUAUGAUCAUAAAACUAAACUUACAAACCUUGUCGGGCUGAUACCUAUAUCUGGAAAUCUGUUUGAUCCUCGAGUUGUCUUCUCCUUUACCUUCAUUCCUUUUGGCUUGGUGAGCCUCUCAUUUCGUUCUGAACUUGUAGUCGUGAUAUUUUUUGGGUCUGCAACUACAAAAGUAUAUGUAAGUUUAAGCUUGAUGAGAGCAUAAAACUGCAAUUGCCCUCACUUUAUGAACAAAGGGAGUUUGUUACCUGUAUCUGGAUCAGAUCUAUGUUUUAGACAUGUCUCCACAUCUUGUGCUAAUUUUUCUGCACAAUUAGCAGCCAUCAAGUAUGACUCAUCAGAUUCUGCGGCUCGAGCAGCUAUUUGGAUAAACAUUCUGCACAACUCUUUAUAGCGUUUCGUUAGUACUGCUUUGCGGUCUUCAUGCAGGUUGCAGUUUCUUGUUAUAUCCAAAACUUUUGCACCAAUUGUCCAUCUUUUUAAGAUAUACUGUUGAGGGAUGUGCUUGAUAUUGUUAAUAUCAAGUACCUUCAAGGAAUGAGAGCAAAGAAUUCCAGCAAAUUCAAACUUCUUGCAGCUGCAAUUGACCUUUUCUUCUUUUGGAAAAAAUUUAACAACAUGAUCACGCUCCGUACCAUGAAAUUUUACUUUGUAAACCUUCUCCUCGGUGUUACUGUCCUCACAAAGGAAUGUGUCAUAGUUCAAGGUCCGAAGCACUUGUUCCUGAAACAUCUUGAAUAUUGGUGGAGUAUAUGUAGUUGAUGCUUGCCUUAAUAUAUAACUUUCUGCCUUCAGCUUAGGAGUACUUUGUGUUGCUUUGAAGUCACAUCUCACCUCUUCAAAUCUUUUAUCUGCAACUAGACGUUCGAAAUGCUCAAAAAAAGUAAGCAUGUCAUACUUAGAACUAAUGUAACGUUUUAGUUCAUUGUUCAUGCUUUCACUCCUUUGGGUACUACUCAUGUGUGCAGAGAAACUAUUCCUGCCAUACACUAGUGCCCAAUGCUCUCUUUUCUCAAAUAUCCUUUGGAGCCAUGCAUUGUCCCGGAGUUCAUACUUGUCAAGCAUUUCAUUCCAUGCACUUAUAAAUUCAUCUUCCUCCUCAAUAUCAUAGAUACAAUGCUGAAAAUCAGUAUUGAACUUCUUGUAAUCUGUAACAACUCCACCAAGAUGUUUGCAAGCAUUUUGAUUCAUAUGUCACACACAAAGUCUAUGGUGAGAGUGAGGCAGGACUGAAUGAAUCGCCUUAGCCAUUGCUGCAUCUUCGUCGGUAAGAAUUGUAUGUGGAUGCUUUCCGGACAUUACUGUUAAAAAUGUUCUAAAAAGCCAAGCAACACUGUCUGCUGUUUCAUCAUAGAGAAGUGCAGCACCAAACACAAUUGUUUUCUUGUGAUUAUUCACACCAACAAUUAAACCAAACAGACGCCCAUCGUCUAGUUUUCUGUAUGUGGUGUCAAAGCAUAUGACAUCACCAAAUAAUGCAUAGUCUGAGACCAUUUUGGAGUCCGUCCAAAAUAUAUUAGUUAUCAAAUCAUCCUCGUCAACUUGAAUUGAAUAAAAAAAAUUGACAUCUUCUGAAACCUUCUUCUCCAUAUAUUCUAACACUCCUCCCGUGUCGCCCACCUUUGCUUUUAGUGUUCUCUUCGAGUACAAACAAUUUUUCAUGUCUGUACUUAUAAAGCCAAGGUUUUCAUGUCCACAUGCUUCUUUCGUCAUUAGAUCAAUAGUUGCUUUAUUUGAAAUGCCCACUGACUUUGCGACCUCUACAUUGGCUAGUUGAGCUUCAUUUACUUUUCUGUGUGAUCUUAAGUAUUGCGACAUGUUUCCAGUAGCAAGACUAUGGUUAUGGGCUUCUUUAAAUUCGUAGACAUAAUAAAUCCCGUUUGUAAGACUUAUCUUCAUACGGGCAUCACAACCACAUCGUGCCUCACGCCUACUAUAACUGAUUUUCUCCUCUCUUUUAUCUUCAGCACGGACUCCUAUUAGUUGAAGUAAUUUUCUUAGUCCCAUCUAAAAAAUCAGAUCACCACAACAAGUUACAACUAGUCCAUACCUUGACGAGAACAUGUGAAUGUCCGCUGUUGAAUCGUACUGGAAUUUUUUUACUUUAUGCUCAUUGCCUCUUCGGAUGCUAAAACCCAAGGAAUAAGCAUAUUUGUUAUAGAAUAAAUAAGCUUCUUCUUCAGAUAAAAACUGCAUGCCAAGCUUUGGCACACUUUUUUCAACCUGCUCUGUUGCAUUGCUAGUUGUAGUUUCUUCAACUCCCUGUUUAAAUUAGUACUCACUUUAGCAAUUGGUUUCAUGCGAUCUGUGCAAGAUAUAUCAUUAACUCAGAUAUGACUAUUUGUUUUGGUGAGUAAGAAAUAUCACUUUUGCUGUCAAGUUUUCUUUUCUCUGUGGUACGAGUGACAACAAUCACAAAACCUUAUAGUCAUAGAUCCGUUGCAUUGCAGGAUUGGGAGGAGACAAAUGGAUCAGGGAAAGGGAAGAACGCGAUGAAAACAUGACAGCUUACAUUUGGGGAAUCUGAUUCCUUAUUGGUUCCAGCAAGAUUUGGUGAAGAAGCCAUCAAGUUCCUCCUAUCCCCUUCUUUGGAUCUGUGUUUGUUGAUAGAAUUGAUGAAGAAGGUCUGUAAUUUGGCUUGUUUGGGGGGAACUGUGUAUGUGAACAGACCAUUGCCAAUGUUUUGGCGGGCACUACUAAUAAUUUUCCCUCCAAAUCUACGUUCUGUUACGUUAAUUAUGUUGGCUGGAGGGAAAGCAUCGGAGCGGCCGGUUUUAAUUAAGAGAGUUGGUCUUUC